rnacentral:rRNA from 1 species
GGCGAUAACGAACGAGACCUUAACCUGCUAAAUAGCCAGGCUAGCUUUGGCUGGUCGCCGGCUUCUUAGAGGGACUAUCGGCUCAAGCCGAUGGAAGUUUGAGGCAAUAACAGGUCUGUGAUGCCCUUAGAUGUCCUGGGCCGCACGCGCGCUACACUGACAGAGCCAGCGAGUUUCAACCUUGGCCGGAAGGUCUGGGUAAUCCUGUGAAACUCUGUCGUGCUGGGGAUAGAGCAUUGCAAUUAUUGCUCUUCAACGAGGAAUACCUGGUAAGCGCGAGUCAUCAGCUCGCGUUGAUUACGUCCCUGCCCUUUGUACACACCGCCCGUCGCUAAUACCGAUUGAAUGGGUG